rnacentral:other from 1 species
AUUAAAAUCAAAUCAAUUCGGAAUGAAAAU